UCUUCCUCUCUCUCUCUCUCUCUCCCGUCCGGCGUCGUCUCCAUUUCUUCCUCAACAUCAUGAAACCUUCCUAAUGGCGUCUCUCUUCCGCAUCCUAACAUCCGAACCUCUCGCUCACAACGUGAAUCAGUUCAGAUUCAUCUCAACCGCUUCAUCACUCCUCACGCCGAACUCGAAAGCCUCACUCACCAGCAAUCAUCACAAGAACACCCGCCACGUCCUCUCCCUCCUCAGAACCGAGAACAAUCCAGAUCGAAUCCUCGAGAUCUGUAGAUCCGCUUCCCUCACACCUGACCACCACCACCUCCACCGCGUCGCCUUCUCCGUCGCGGUCGCGACACUAUCCCGCGACAAACACUUCGCCGCCGUAUCACACCUCCUCGACGGAUUCAUCAAGAGCCAACCUAAUCCCAAAUCCGAGAGCUUCGCCGUCCGCGUGAUCAUCCUCUACGGCAGAGCCAACAUGCUCGAUCGAUCUCUACAAACAUUCCACGACCUCGAGAGGUAUGAGAUCCAGAGAACGGUGAAGUCGUUGAACGCUCUGUUACUCGCUUGCUUGAAGGCGAGAGAUUACGAAGAGGCGAAACGAGUCUACUCCGAGACGCCGAAGAAGUACGGCAUCGAGCCUGAUCUCGAGACGUACAAUCGAAUCAUCAAGGCCUUGUGCGAAUCGAAUUCGACGAGCUCGUCGUACUCCAUCGUCGCGGAGAUGGAGAGGAGGCGUGUGAAGCCGAGAGCUUCCACCUUCGGGUUGAUGAUUGGAGGUUUUUACAAGGAGGAGAAGUACGAUGAGGUGAGGAGAGUGUUGAGGUUGAUGAGAGAUUUUGGUGUUCAUGUUGGUGUUGCGACGUACAACGUCAUGGUUCGGUGUUUGUGUGAGAGGAAGAGAACUAGAGAAGCUAAGGCGUUGCUUUGUGGAGUUAUGUCGAGUAGGAUGAGACCGAACUCAGUGACGUAUUCUCUUUUGAUUCAUGGGUUUUGCAGCGAGGGGGAUUUGGAUGAGGCGAUGAGUGUGUUUGAGGUUAUGGUGAAGAGUGGGUGCAAGCCGGGUAGUGAAUGUUAUUUUGAUCUGAUACGUUGUUUGUGUAAAGGAGGAGACUUUGAGACGGCUUUGGUGCUUUGUAGGGAGAGUAUGGAGAAGAAUUGGGUUCCGAGUUUCAGUGUCAUGAGGUGGCUUGUUCAUGGACUUGUUGGUAGUAACAAGGUUGAUGAAGCUAGAGAGGUGAUUGCGCAAGUGAAAGACAAGUUUUCAAGAAAUGUUGACUUGUGGAAUGAAGUUGAAGCUGGCUUGUCUCGGUGAACAUGCUGCGAGAGUUGAGUGCCAAUUUUGUGUCUUGUAUCUAAUUGUCAUGUAACAUGUUUAGAUGCCCCCCAUGAACAAUGGAGUUACACUUGAACCCAAUGUAUAUAAUCCAAACCCCCCAUAUAAUAGACUCUAAAACAUCUAUAUACCAUAGCUAAAAACCAGUAAAAUCCAUGGUAUAUCACGCAUCUUCUGUGCUGUCGUUUUUUCCCAUUCCAGAGGUUAUCAUCCAAACCUUGAACCGCUUCAAGCUCUCCGACAAGCCAGAUGACUCUCACUGGUUUACAGCAUCUCAUCCCGACUAAUGG